rnacentral:rRNA from 1 species
ACGAUGAAGAGUUUGAUCCUGGCUCAGGAUGAACGCUAGCGGCAGGCUUAACACAUGCAAGUCGAGGGGUAACAGGAAUAGCUUGCUAUUUGCUGACGACCGGCGCACGGGUGAGUAACGCGUAUGCAACCUACCUUUUACUGGAGAAUAGCCUUUAGAAAUGAAGAUUAAUACUCCAUAAUAUUAUAGAUCAGCAUUGAUUUAUUAUUAAAGUUUCGGCGGUAAAAGAUGGGCAUGCGUUUUAUUAGUUAGUUGGUAAGGUAACGGCUUACCAAGACUACGAUAAAUAGGGGUCCUGAGAGGGAGAUCCCCCACACUGGUACUGAGACACGGACCAGACUCCUACGGGAGGCAGCAGUGAGGAAUAUUGGACAAUGGAGGCAACUCUGAUCCAGCCAUGCCGCGUGCAGGAAGACGGCCCUAUGGGUUGUAAACUGCUUUUAUACAGGAAGAAACCUCCCCACGUGUGGGGAGCUGACGGUACUGUAAGAAUAAGGACCGGCUAACUCCGUGCCAGCAGCCGCGGUAAUACGGAGGGUCCAAGCGUUAUCCGGAAUCAUUGGGUUUAAAGGGUCCGUAGGCGGACUAUUAAGUCAGUGGUGAAAUCUUACAGCUCAACUGUAAAAUUGCCAUUGAUACUGGAUUUCUUGAAUUAGUGUGAAGUGGUUAGAAUGUGUAGUGUAGCGGUGAAAUGCAUAGAUAUUACACAGAAUACCAAUUGCGAAGGCAGAUCACUAACACUAUAUUGACGCUGAGGGACGAAAGCGUGGGGAGCGAACAGGAUUAGAUACCCUGGUAGUCCACGCCGUAAACGAUGGAUACUAGCUGUUCGAUCUUCGGAUUGAGUGGCUAAGCGAAAGUGAUAAGUAUCCCACCUGGGGAGUACGUUCGCAAGAAUGAAACUCAAAGGAAUUGACGGGGGCCCGCACAAGCGGUGGAGCAUGUGGUUUAAUUCGAUGAUACGCGAGGAACCUUACCAGGGCUUAAAUGUAGUCUGACAGCUUUAGAAAUAGAGUUUUCUUCGGACAGAUUACAAGGUGCUGCAUGGUUGUCGUCAGCUCGUGCCGUGAGGUGUCAGGUUAAGUCCUAUAACGAGCGCAACCCCUGUUGUUAGUUGCCAGCGAGUAAUGUCGGGAACUCUAGCAAGACUGCCAGUGCAAACUGUGAGGAAGGUGGGGAUGACGUCAAAUCAUCACGGCCCUUACGUCCUGGGCCACACACGUGCUACAAUGGCCGGUACAGAGAGCAGCCACUACGCGAGUAGGAGCGAAUCUUCAAAACCGGUCUCAGUUCGGAUCGAAGUCUGCAACUCGACUUCGUGAAGCUGGAAUCGCUAGUAAUCGUAUAUCAGCAAUGAUACGGUGAAUACGUUCCCGGGCCUUGUACACACCGCCCGUCAAGCCAUGGAAGCUGGGAGUGCCUGAAGUCGGUGACCGUAAGGAGCUGCCUAAGGUAAAACUGGUAACUGGGGCUAAGUCGAAACAAGGUAGCCGUACCGGAAGGUGCGGCUGGAACACCUCCUUU